UGAAGAGUUAAUCAAACUUGCAUCAAGAAGAGGCAUUAACUUUACCAUAUACUACUUUCUAAGUUGUCACUUCUAGUAUGUGAGUGAGUGAGUGCUCCAACUAUAUCAGAAGAAGCAACUAAUUAACAACUUUAAUUAAGAGGUUUUUUCUGUAUAUUGAACGGCUAACAAUAUAUGUAAUUAUUAUUUUUUGGUUUAACCUUUUAGUUUUUAGGAGAAUAGGCUCUGUUAAAUUGAAGUUUUGUUGCAAGAUAAUAAUGCUUGAUUCCACAAAUUCAAUAUGUUAAAAAAAAAAAAAAAAAAAAAACCUCAAUGGCUCGGUUCUCAGAGAAAGCAAUAGAGAUGGAGUACAUGUGGGAAUAAUUGUUGAAAGAUUACCUUUGAGCAAGUGCAGAUCCGAACAAUGACAAUGACUUUGGCGUCGUCAACGUUGCAGAUCCGGAGAUAUGAGUAUUCUGGAGACACGAAUAUAGUCAUAUUAGUCAUAGUUGUAGGCAUAUGUACUUUUCCAUUUUAUGCUAUUAACAUGGAUGCUAUGAGUUUGUUCACAGAUUCAUCCUUUUUGUUUUUAGCGAAUUUGGAUUUGUAUUAUAUCGAUGUACUCUAUCAAUUUGAAUAAAUGAAUAUCGUUUAUUUUUUUAAAAAAAAAAAAAGUUCAAGGGGUGUAUCACUCUCACCUGUCCUUAAUGCUAUACAAAUAGAUGGCAAUGGGUAUUAGACACUUACUCUAACUAUAGUCAUGCAGACAGUUUACUUGACAUAAAGUUAGUUAAAGAGUUUUUUCUCUGCUUUUA